rnacentral:rRNA from 1 species
AGAGAUUGAACAUAAGAGUUUGAUCCUGGCUCAGAUUGAACGCUGGCGGCAUGCUUUACACAUGCAAGUCGGACGGCAGCACAGAGAAGCUUGCUUCUUGGGUGGCGAGUGGCGAACGGGUGAGUAACAUAUCGGAACGUACCGAGUAGUGGGGGAUAACUGAUCGAAAGAUCAGCUAAUACCGCAUACGUCUUGAGAGAGAAAGCAGGGGACCUUCGGGCCUUGCGCUAUUCGAGCGGCCGAUAUCUGAUUAGCUAGUUGGUGGGGUAAAGGCCUACCAAGGCGACGAUCAGUAGCGGGUCUGAGAGGAUGAUCCGCCACACUGGGACUGAGACACGGCCCAGACUCCUACGGGAGGCAGCAGUGGGGAAUUUUGGACAAUGGGCGCAAGCCUGAUCCAGCCAUGCCGCGUGUCUGAAGAAGGCCUUCGGGUUGUAAAGGACUUUUGUCAGGGAAGAAAAGGCUGUUGCUAAUAUCAGCGGCUGAUGACGGUACCUGAAGAAUAAGCACCGGCUAACUACGUGCCAGCAGCCGCGGUAAUACGUAGGGUGCGAGCGUUAAUCGGAAUUACUGGGCGUAAAGCGGGCGCAGACGGUU